rnacentral:rRNA from 1 species
AUUGAACGCUGGCGGCAUGCCUUACACAUGCAAGUCGAACGGCAGCACGGACUUCGGUCUGGUGGCGAGUGGCGAACGGGUGAGUAAUACAUCGGAACGUGUCCUGGAGUGGGGGAUAGCCCGGCGAAAGCCGGAUUAAUACCGCAUACGCUCUGAGGAGGAAAGGGGGGGAUCUUAGGACCUCUCGCUCAAGGGGCGGCCGAUGGCAGAUUAGCUAGUUGGUGGGGUAAAGGCCUACCAAGGCGACGAUCUGUAGCUGGUCUGAGAGGACGACCAGCCACACUGGGACUGAGACACGGCCCAGACUCCUACGGGAGGCAGCAGUGGGGAAUUUUGGACAAUGGGCGCAAGCCUGAUCCAGCAAUGCCGCGUGUGUGAAGAAGGCCUUCGGGUUGUAAAGCACUUUUGUCCGGAAAGAAAACUUCUGGGUUAAUACCCCGGGAGGAUGACGGUACCGGAAGAAUAAGCACCGGCUAACUACGUGCCAGCCGCCGCGGUAAUAC